AAAAUUAUCUCAUGGACAUGAAAAUUGUAACAUUUCAUAGGAAUAUAGUUUAUUAGAAACUGUUAAUAUUAUUGUAAUAUAAAUUUAUAUAGACCUAUUAUUGUUUCUACAUACAUCAUAGAAGUAAUAGCUACAUGCCAUCAUUAUAAGCAGUAAUGUAAAUAUGUUACUACCAGUUAUGAUCCUAUAUAAAAUAUCUAUAGUAUACUGAUCUUGGACAGUUUAAUCUUUAACAAUAUGGUAAUGAAAGGAAAUCUUAUCAGGAUGACGCAAGCGAGAAAGACAUUAAUAACUAGACUUUUUAGAGCGAGGAAGCUGUAUGGAUAAAAAGAUUUAUUAAUAAUGCAUUCAAUAGCUAAUCAUAUAGGGCCUACAUUAAGCAUAGUGGCAAUACCUGUCGCCGGUUAGUACCGGCUCUAGAACUUUUUGCGCCUCGAGCGAAAAUUUUUAUUGCUUCACUUAGUUAUCAUUUUUGAAAAAUAAAUAAAUUCAUAAAAUAUCACACUUUACUUAAAAAAUAUUGUUCUUUAAUAUUGACACCCUGAGUGGGCACUUCGCUCGAUCGUAUGUUGAGCCGGCCCUGAAUCCGGUUCUGGUAGACAUGUUGCAGGAAAAUGAAACCUCAUCUGAAAAGCAUAUGAUAACUUCUUUGCUAUAUCUAACACGAUUUAAUCAAAUGUGGGAACGUUUUUGUAAUAUUUGGUCUCUAGAAACACCCCUCGUUGCAUCUGAAAUUAUAUGCAUGGUGUCCACUGUAUUGUUGUUUCGGCAUUCGUCAUUAUCAGGAAUAUAUGCUAUCAGAUCAAAGUCUCAGAACAUAAUGCACGAACCUAUUUUCGAUGAUAAGUCAGCUUAUGUUUAAAUGACGCUGAUGACUAUAGAAAAGCAAUUUAUAAGUAAAGACAGAGGAAACUAUUUACAGCAGUAUGUAGAUAAUAUUUUGAAUUUUCCUGCAAUUCCUCAGCAACAAACAAUUUUCCAGCAAGAUAAUAGUGUCAUAUGUUUCGUAUUAUUCUAGUAUCUAUACAAUAUCAAUAUCCAUUAUCUUCAGCUAUAUGUUUAUAUUUGCUCUUAUUUAGCAAAUCUGGGAUAACAUGUUACAUUGGCUUUAAGCGUGAAUACGCUAAAGCCAAUGUUAAGUGUUACGCUAAGAUCAAAUAAGAUCAAUGCCUUUAUUAAAAUCAACGUCCUAUAUUAUCCCAGAUCUAACAAGAUGAAUAACAACGGACUAUACUGCAAAAAAGUCCUAAGGAUCUGUAUGCUAUAUUACUACAGGCGUGUUAAUGAUUCUAUUUCAAAUAUUAGGAAUAUGACGUUUAUUUUACUAAGAGAGUUUACUAAAAUUUAAUAGCAUGUAUAUCACGAUGCGCAAUUAAUAUCAUAUCCCUUUAUACAUUAUAUUACGC
rnacentral:lncRNA from 1 species